ensembl:lncRNA
GUUAUAUACAUGUACGAAUAUCUGUGGUCUGCACGCAGGCAAGUAAAUCUUCAUGUUCUUAAAGCAGGGCUUCAUGAACACUUCAUACACUGCACAGUUCUCUCACACACCUUCUUCACCUAAUAACAACCUGAACCUGAGAUAAGUGGCUUAAGUGUCAUAGUGCUCAUCUUCAAUCCUCACUAUGAAGAAUGUUGUUUUAAAGGCAAGUACUGGAUGAAAUGUACUGUAUACGAUGGGAAUAUUAUGAGUGUGAUAUAGUAUUAGGACUUCUUUGCUGAAGUGUUGAGGAACACCUCAUGGUUCUGCGUUAUUUACACCAGACCGAUUUGGGUUUGUCGGAGAAUCGCACAGAAAUGGUCUCCGAUCAAUCGGGAUGAUCGUAACACAACAAAAGAGUAAAAAUAUAUGACUACUGCGCAUGGAGACACAUUUAUUAAUACAUUACUCUCAGAAAAAAAUAAGCACUGAGUUUACAGUUGAGGUCAGAAGUUGACAUACCCCUUGCAGAAUCCGCAAAAUGUUCACUUUAAAAAUAAUAAUAAUAAUAAUAAAAAUAAGCGGGAUGAUAAACUGAAAUUGCAUUUAGGGUUUUUUAAAAAAUAUAUAUUUAGUCCUGUCCUGAAUAAACUAUUUCACAUAGCAGAUGUUUACAUAUAGUCCACAAGACACAAUAAGAACUGAAUUUACACGAACGAACCCGUUCAGAAGUUUACACACGCUCGAUUCUUAAUACCCUGUGUCGUUGGAUGACCAACGAGUCGUUCAUGAGUCCCUUGUCUGUCCUGAGCAGUUAAACUGCACACUGUUCUGGGGGUGUAAACUUUUGAGCGGGACGAUCGGUGUAUAUUCUUAUUAUUUUGCUUCAGAACAAUUUACAGCAAUCAGGUAGGUGUAUGUAAACUUAUGACCUCGACUGUGCAUGUACUUUUGUUUGUCACUGCAGUUGUAUCAUCAUCUUGUGUACCUUUUAAUAUAUAUACAUAUAUAUAUAUAUAUAUAU